CAGUAGCCGCGGUAAUACGAAGGGGGCUAGCGUUGUUCGGAAUUACUGGGCGUAAAGCGCACGUAGGCGGAUAUUUAAGUCAGGGGUGAAAUCCCAGAGCUCAACUCUGGAACUGCCUUUGAUACUGGGUAUCUUGAGUAUGGAAGAGGUGAGUGGAAUUCCGAGUGUAGAGGUGAAAUUCGUAGAUAUUCGGAGGAACACCAGUGGCGAAGGCGGCUCACUGGCCCAUUACUGACGCUGAGGUGCGAAAGCGUGGGGAGCAAACAGGAUUAGAUACCCCGGUAGUCCCUGUCUCUUAUAC
rnacentral:rRNA from 1 species